UGCCCAGAGCCACUUUAAAGCAGAUGUGGA
rnacentral:piRNA from 1 species